UCUAUAUGCCGCUGUUCGACAUCAUUAUCCACAGGACCCCUGUUCGGCCAGGGUCGCUCUGGAGGGGAGUGAAGCGGAGAAACCCAUUUCUAGAUCGAGAACACCUUAGCAGCAGCCCAGCUAAGAAGAAGGUCUUUAUUUACACUGAUGACGACGCCGACUCUUCGGAUUAUGUGAAGCCGGGCGGCUCUGCAGGAGUGGAGGGAGAGAAGUCAACAACAAGAACGCUGCCAUUUAGUGAACGACUUCUCCAGGCAGAAGAACUAAGCAAAGACUGCCCGGCAAGAAACCAACUUCUCUGUCUGAAGACGACUCACUGUUUGAAGAUGAGGAUUUGUUCCAGGAGGAGAGAACACCCAUACUGAAGAGUCCCCAGGCUGGUGCAGUAACCUCCAUAGGCCCCCUGCGUGUGUGGAGUACCCUGCAGACUGGAGCUGAAGACGGUCUCCUUUUC